AGUGCUUUUUAAUGUUGGUUGCAGGCAGGGGACUGUUGCCCCCUCCCAAGCACUUCAGCUUCCUUGCACGGCCUCUCCUUGGCUUCUGUCUGUCCCUGCCAGCAGCAUUUCAUGGGACCCAUCCUGACCCUCCAAGAAAGCAGAAAAGGGGGUUCCUGAUGUAAAAAGUAAAGAACUAUCAUCUGAAGAAGAGCUGUCCUCACUUUGGCUCAAGUAAACUCUUUAGAUUGUACUCUGUGUCUCAGCUUCUUCCUUUCAGGUGGAUACUGAGGGGAGUAAAUGAAUGGCUCCUGCUCUUUCUCUGUCUGAAGCUUGGACUAUUCAUGAGAGGACUUCCUACUCCAAGACAUAAGGGAGUCUUGCUCAGAAGGAGGAGCUCCUGUCUGCUGAGGACACGGUUCCAUCCAAUGAGGUCAGCAGGGCUAUCAGCAGCUUCCGUUAAUUCCGUUGGGGCAGGCGCUUGGCAAGCGGCAGUUAUUUGAGCUGAGGAUGCUGGGAUAGAUUUUAACAUGAGCAGUUGGCCCUUAGAUCAUGAGACCAGCUAAAGUGCCCAAGGAAAUGGAACAGCAGGGAGAGGGGACAUCACACACACCACCAAAACCUCUUCUCAAUCUGUAUAAUGGGGAUAAUAUUGGGUAAUGCACUAAGCACCAUGUCAGGAAUGUAGUUAGUGUUCAAUAAACGUUUAUCUUUAUUGCUGCGAAACCUCAUUCUGCCAUUCCCUUCUUUGUCUUCCUCUCCCAACCCCCCAGCUUCAUCAUGGCCUAUGAACAGCCAAAGGGUAAAAUGAUCAGAAAACUGGACAGUUUUUGACAGUCUGUAAGUAACUACUGUGGCCUACUCAACUGCCUGGCCUUUUGAAAAGCACACUUAGAAGCUGGUGAUGUCCAUGGGACCACAUACCGGGAAAUGACAGAGGUGUAUAUUUACAAAGUAACUCUUGACCCAAAGUACCUCUUUAAAAGAAGACAAGCAUGUUUUGCUCCCAUGAUAUCUUAUAGUGGCACCUAGAUUGCUGAGGGCCUGUUGUCCAGUAAGUAAUGUCACCUAGAGGGGGUAUGAUUGGUUUGGAGUCUGGGUCUGAGAACUGGGGUAAACCACUUCUUCAUGUCGUAGUCCCCUUAUACAUAAAACAGAGGGAUUGGACCAGAUGGAUCACUAAAGGUCCUUCCAGUGUUAAGACUUAAAGGGUAAAUGGCUCUUUGAUAAAGAGAGAUCAUA
rnacentral:lncRNA from 10 species